UUUAACUGCAGCCACAUGAGUUUCCAUACACAACUUUAAUUGUCCGUCUUAUUUGAAUUUUUUUUUACAAUUAGUAUUUUUAUUGUUAUGAGAUAAUAAAAUAUGAAUAGUACUUUAUGCUUGACUUAUUUUUUAAUUUUUUUUAAAAAAAAAUUUUCAAAUUAGACGGACGAUCAAAGUUGGAACACGGAAAAUCAUGGUUACACUUAAA
rfam:Oryza glaberrima chromosome 8 Oglab08_0175_17, whole genome shotgun sequence.